rnacentral:rRNA from 1 species
AUGGGAGAGCAGGGGAGCAGCGUGGCGAAGCUGAACAGGGGAGCUCCGACGGCCAUGCGCCUGUGUCGGAGCGGCAAGUUGUGUCGGGAGUUUCGGGAGGGGUUUUCUGCAAAAACAUCACGAGGACAACUUUUCCCGGAUGGAGGAGAGUCAAAAUAUAUCUCGCCAAAGUGCGAAUCUUCUGAGCAGAAAAUGCAGCUGAAAGGAUUUUUCACUUGGUUUGUUAGUAUAAUAGAAUUGAAAUGUUCCCAGUCAUAUGGCCAACACAGGGUAAUAUUGCUUUACUGUUUCAAAUUAACAACAGUGUACAUCCAUCCCAGUAUCCCAGUAUUACAGCAGAAGUAA